rnacentral:lncRNA from 1 species
GUCAGGUGUUACCCAGAGAGGAUUUCAGCGUUCACUCUGCUUGGGGUUGUAUGAUAGUGCCGGGGUCUCUUAGCUCAGGUAAUCUGAAGCCGUCCAGUUGCAGUCAGGGAAAUUCUUAGUUUUUCCAGGAAGGAAUCUUGUCCUGGCCUCAAACCUUCUUCUGGGAGGUAUGAAAACCAGACAUCCAACAGGCUGGCUUUUGUCCUGCUCCUCUUAGGAGCCUGCAUGCUGAGGAGAUGCGAGGGGAUGUGCAAGGAAUGGGUGGGGUCCCCUGCCUUUCAGCUUGCCUCUGGUCUGAGCUCUCCUGUAGAACAUGCCCUCACGCACCCAGGGCAUUACAGUCGUUAGCUCAAUGGAUGUGGCAAGCAGGGAUGAUACAGAAUUAACUCUUACCAGGUUUAAGCCUCCUUGGCAUCAGCUGAGGCUUUAAUUCUUUGAAGAGUCUUUCUUGUCAUUGGUGGUGGUUU